GAUUUUUUUUUUUAAAUUUAACAAAAUAAAGAACGAUAACAAAUUUUUCGACAAGGACAAAACUAGUUUUACCACCCUGAUGUACGCGAGUCCUCGACCGGCUCAGUGAAGAAGGGAGGGGUAUUUAUAUGGCGCCACACAGUUAAUCCCGCGUACAACACGAACUGUGACGUGGUAUGAUGGAAUAUGGUGAUAUAAACAUAUAACACAACAAAACAUAAACGCUCAACAAAAUAGAUUUUGAGUUACACACAAUAUUUAUUAAAAAAAAAAAUUUCCGAAGAAAAAAAAAAAAAAUAUAUAGGUUAAAUCAACAAAGAAAACGAAAAUUAUAUUGAUGUUUGCGAGUUUUUCAAAACUAAAAGGAAUUACUCAAAUAAAAUAAAAAAAAAAUAUAUCAAGAAAGAUGGAAAUUAAAAAUUAACACGCGUCUGACUCCGUAUGGUUGAGCUCAACGUGAAAUCGAGAAUUAAAAAUAAAAAAAAAUUAACGCCAAAAAUAGAAUAAAAAAAAAAUCACUCGCCAAACAAGAAUUCACAAUAAUCAAUUCAAAUGAUAUAUAUAAAAAAAAUUGAAGUUCAGAUGAAAUCUUCUUUCAGAAAAAAAUCAAGGAUUUUCUUAAGGAAAAUCAAAUACAAAAAAAAAUAUGUUAUAGAUAAAUUCUUCAGUAACCAAAAUAAUAGUAUGUUGUUCUAUCUGACCUUUACUCCAAGUCUUGAUCACCGGUCCAAACAAAAAAAAUAUCUUCAGCAACAAAUUCUGGUGAUUCAGGAAAGGACGUAAAGAAAAUUAUCCAAGGACACUGGUUCCAGAUUAU
rnacentral:lncRNA from 1 species